UAAGGAAUAUUGCUCAAUGGGAGAAAUCCUGAAGCAGCAACGCCGCGUGGAGGAUGAAGGGUCUAUGACUUGUAAACUCCUGUAAAGAAGGAAAAAAUUCCCAUUAGAUGGGAGAUGAUGGUACUUCUGGAGUAAGCCCCGGCUAACUACGUGCCAGCAGCCGCGGUAAUACGUAGGGGGCAAGCGUUGUCCGGAUUUACUGGGUGUAAAGGGUGCUCAGGCGGAUUUGUAAGUCAGAUGUGAAAUCUUACAGCUUAACUGUGAAACUGCCUGUGAUACUGCAAGCCUAGAGUAUGGAAGAGAGUGAUGGAAUAUCUGGUGUAGCAGUGAAAUGCGUAGAUAUCAGAUACAACACCAAUGGCGAAGGUAGUCACUUGGUCCAUUACUGACGCUAAAGCACGAAAGCGUGGGUAGCAAACA
rnacentral:rRNA from 1 species